rnacentral:rRNA from 1 species
GACGAACGCUGGCGGCGUGCCUAACACAUGCAAGUCGAACGGAAAGGCCCUGCUUUUGUGGGGUGCUCGAGUGGCGAACGGGUGAGUAACACGUGAGUAACCUGCCCUUGACUUUGGGAUAACUUCAGGAAACUGGGGCUAAUACCGGAUAGGAGCUCCUGCUGCAUGGUGGGGGUUGGAAAGUUUCGGCGGUUGGGGAUGGACUCGCGGCUUAUCAGCUUGUUGGUGGGGUAGUGGCUUACCAAGGCUUUGACGGGUAGCCGGCCUGAGAGGGUGACCGGCCACAUUGGGACUGAGAUACGGCCCAGACUCCUACGGGAGGCAGCAGUGGGGAAUAUUGCACAAUGGGCGGAAGCCUGAUGCAGCAACGCCGCGUGCGGGAUGACGGCCUUCGGGUUGUAAACCGCUUUCGCCUGUGACGAAGCGUGAGUGACGGUAAUGGGUAAAGAAGCACCGGCUAACUACGUGCCAGCAGCCGCGGUGAUACGUAGGGUGCGAGCGUUGUCCGGAUUUAUUGGGCGUAAAGGGCUCGUAGGUGGUUGAUCGCGUCGGAAGUGUAAUCUUGGGGCUUAACCCUGAGCGUGCUUUCGAUACGGGUUGACUUGAGGAAGGUAGGGGAGAAUGGAAUUCCUGGUGGAGCGGUGGAAUGCGCAGAUAUCAGGAGGAACACCAGUGGCGAAGGCGGUUCUCUGGGCCUUUCCUGACGCUGAGGAGCGAAAGCGUGGGGAGCGAACAGGCUUAGAUACCCUGGUAGUCCACGCUGUAAACGGUGGGUACUAGGUGUGGGGUCCAUUCCACGGGUUCCGUGCCGUAGCUAACGCUUUAAGUACCCCGCCUGGGGAGUACGGCCGCAAGGCUAAAACUCAAAGGAAUUGACGGGGCCCCGCACAAGCGGCGGAGCAUGCGGAUUAAUUCGAUGCAACGCGUAGAACCUUACCUGGGUUUGACAUGGAUCGGGAGUGCUCAGAGAUGGGUGUGCCUCUUUUGGGGUCGGUUCACAGGUGGUGCAUGGCUGUCGUCAGCUCGUGUCGUGAGAUGUUGGGUUAAGUCCCGCAACGAGCGCAACCCUUGUUCACUGUUGCCAGCACGUUAUGGUGGGGACUCAGUGGAGACCGCCGGGGUCAACUCGGAGGAAGGUGGGGAUGACGUCAAGUCAUCAUGCCCCUUAUGUCCAGGGCUUCACGCAUGCUACAAUGGCUGGUACAGAGAGUGGCGAGCCUGUGAGGGUGAGCGAAUCUCGGAAAGUCGGUCUCAGUUCGGAUUGGGGUCUGCAACUCGACCUCAUGAAGUCGGAGUCGCUAGUAAUCGCAGAUCAGCAACGCUGCGGUGAAUACGUUCCCGGGGCU